rnacentral:sRNA from 1 species
GCUGGGCGUGGUGGCGCAUGCCUGUAGACCCAGCUACUUCGGAAGCUGAGGCAGGAGAAUUGCUUGAACUCAGGAGGCAGAGGUUGCAGUGAGCUGAGACCGUGCCACUGCAUUCCAGCCUGGGUGACAGAGCAAGAUUCUGUCUCUC